ACUCAAUAGAUACCCAGGUAGUCCACGCCGUAAACUAUGCUUGCUAGCUGUUAUCAGUAUCGACCCUGGUAGUAGCGAAGCUAACGCGUUAAGCAAGCCGCCUGUGGAGUACGAGCGCAAGCUUAAAACAUAAAGGAAUUGACGGGGACCCGCACAAGCGGUGGAGCGUGUUGUUUAAUUCGACGGUAAGCGAAGAACCUUACCAAGGCUUGACAUCCUGCCAAGCUCUCUGAAAGGAGAGUGUGCCUUCGGGCCGCAGUGACAGGUGAUGCAUGGCCGUCGUCAGCUCGUGUCGUGAGAUGUUUGGUUAAGUCCAUCAACGAGCGCAACCCUUAUAGUCAGUUGAAUUUCUCUGGCUAGACUGCCCCGGUAACGGGGAGGAAGGAGGGGAUGAUGUCAGGUCAUUAUUUCCCUUACGCCUUGGGCUACAAACACGCUACAAUGGCCGGUACAAAGGGCAGCUAAGUCGCGAGACGGAGCAAAUCCCAUCAAAGCCGGUCUCAGUUCGGAUUGUAGGCUGAAACCCGCUGC
rnacentral:rRNA from 1 species